GUAAGGAAUAUUGGACAAUGGACGCAAGUCUGAUCCAGCCAUGCCGCGUGAAGGAUUAAGGUCCUCUGGAUUGUAAACUUCUUUUAUAAGGGACGAAAAAAGGCUUUUCUAAGUCGUCUGACGGUACCUUAUGAAUAAGCACCGGCUAACUCCGUGCCAGCAGCCGCGGUAAUACGGAGGGUGCAAGCGUUAUCCGGAUUCACUGGGUUUAAAGGGUGCGUAGGCGGGCGGGUAAGUCAGUGGUGAAAUCCUAGAGCUUAACUCUAGAACUGCCAUUGAUACUAUCUGUCUUGAAUAUUGUGGAGGUAAGCGGAAUAUGUCAUGUAGCGGUGAAAUGCUUAGAUAUGACAUAGAACACCUAUUGCGAAGGCAGCUUACUACGCAUAUAUUGACGCUGAGGCACGAAAGCGUGGGGAUCAAACAGGAUUAGAAACCCCUGUAGUCC
rnacentral:rRNA from 1 species